AUUGAACUCUGGCGGCAGGCCUAACACAUGCAAGUCGAACGAGUGGCGGACGGGUGAGUAAUGUCUGGGAAACUGCCCGAUGGGGGGGGAUAACUACUGGAAACGGUAGCUAAUACCGCAUACCAUCAGAUGUGCCAAGAUGGGAGUAGCUAGGAGGUGUGGUAACGGCGCACCUAGGCGACGAUCCCUAGCUGGUCUGAGAGGAUGACCAGCCACACUGGAACUGAGACACGGUCCAGACUCCUACGGGAGGCAGCAGUGGGGAAUAUUGCACAAGGGGCGCAAGCCUGAUGCAGCCAUGCCGCGUGUAUGAAGAAGGCCUUCGGGUUGUAAAGGACUUUCAGCGAGGAGGCGUUACUCGCAGAAGAAGCACCGGCUAACUCCGUGCCAGCAGCCGCGGUAAUAC
rnacentral:rRNA from 1 species